rnacentral:rRNA from 1 species
AGGUACUAUCAUACCAGCACUAAUGCACCGGAUCCCAUUAGAACUCCGAAGUUAAGCGUG